GUUCCUUCCUGAGCCGUGCCCGUGAGCCGGUAUCCGUGACGGCCACCUGCCCCAACCCUCGAUAAUUGCAUCCCCACCCAUGCUCCCCCUCACAACCCACACAGCUCCAAAGAAAUCCCCAUCGCCGCCGCUCCCUCCCACCUUGUUCACUCGCCGCCAUGUCCGCCGCGUCAUCCUCCCCUCUCACCGUCCCAACUGACUUCCUGCUCCCUCUCAACCCGGUAUCCUUUUUGCGGUGACGAGAUCGCGACGAACUUCGCAAGGACGGGAGACAAGUUGGGUCAUUGGUUCUACAAGUGUAGAAAGUACGAUGCCCUCCAGUGCCGAUUCUUCGAUGCCAGAAGACGUACGUGAGGAGGCUAACUCCGCUUCAGCUUGCCCGUGCUUAGAAGCAACAAGCAAGUCGACAUUCACCAAGCCGUGCAGAUGGUCCAUGCUGCCAACCAACCCCCUGUGCAGCAAGGCGAUGGAGGGCAGAUAGCCACCCAAUCCAGUCUUUGCCACCGCGGUCUCGGCCAGGGCAGACUUUGUGUCAAACUGAUCAACUACAAGUCGUCGUUGCAUCCCGUUCCCAAAUGCUUGUAGUUGCCACUCUACUGCUUGCAGCUGCCAAUCCCAUGCUUACCGUGCUUGUCCUUCUGUUUGUAGUCGCCAGGUACUUUGGCUUGGUAAUUAAUGUGUUCAGAGUUGUUUACUGAGUCGCCGUGCAACGGCCAGAAGGCGUCAACCAUGUCAGGGUGGCUCCCUGUACCUCAAGCCUGUUUCACCUAAAAUGUCAGGGUAGCUCCCUGUACCUCAGGCGUCAACCGUGCGAACUUUAUUGGCAGCUUCAUAUGUAAUGAUAGUAACUAUGUUCAGUAUGCUUGUUACUGGCUGUCAUUGAAAUUAAUUCUGCGUAAUGAAAAUUCUUAUUGUUAUGCUAUUACACAAUUUGUUAUAUAAGAGAACUGUCCCUUAUGUCUUUGUUGAUCAGUUCUAUACAAAUUCUGCCCUGGCCGACCAAUAUGGGGUUGCACAUAGACUGAAGUAGCAAAUGUAUUAUAUAUUACUAGUAUUAUUUUUCAUUUCAGUUUGUUAACACAAAUAUUUCUUUAUUAUUUUGCUUCACUAGUGAUACAUAGGGCAUUGAUAUUUGAAAGGUGCAUAAGCUAUUAAGCUUCCACACCAACAGUCGAUGGGAACAACUAGAAUCAUGCAUUGAUGUCUCGAAACAUUUUCUGCACUUGAAAGUAGUGAGAGUAUGUAACCAGUUACUUUGUCGGCAUUUAACAAAUCGAAGAAGAUAUGCACCAGGUUUUUCAGGUUAAUUUUCUGCAGUCAUACAUAUCAAGUUGUUCCAUUCGGAAUGCAAAUCUUUUUCUGCAAGCACCAGCGACUACGGCUUCGGCGAUGACUGUCGUUUCCUCCAUCACUUCCCACCAUGGACACGAUCAGGCUAUUUACGAAAAAAGAUGAACAAUUGGACCUAGGCGGUGAGGGGGAGCUCGGGAAGCCAAUGUGUCUUGCCAGCACCUUCAAGACCAGGCUAUGCAUGAGCUUUGUCGCCGGUGGAGGCCACUUGGCCUAUGGCAAAGUUGAGCUACGCAGGUCAAACGCAUCUUCAGAAGUCCAAGAUCAAGUGGUUUUCAUGGUGUUUGUGAUGAUCGUGUGUCUGCUAUUUUGCAGAAAUGCCUAAAUAGAAGGUUGUCUAUUCUUGUUGUAGUCCAUUUUUUCGGUUCAAUGAAGGCAUGAUAGGCAAGGCAAGAAAAAUGGAUUGAACAGGAACUCACUGUAUCUCUUAUUUUAUUCCUCGAAUUCUAACUGAACAAUACAAUUCUUUAUGUUGCUGGA